UACGGAGGGUGCGAGCGUUGUCCGGAAUUAUUGGGCGUAAAGAGCUCGUAGGCGGCUUGUCACGUCGGGUGUGAAAGCCCGGGGCUUAACCCCGGGUCUGCAUUCGAUACGGGCUGGCUAGAGUGUGGUAGGGGAGAUCGGAAUUCCUGGUGUAGCGGUGAAAUGCGCAGAUAUCAGGAGGAACACCGGUGGCGAAGGCGGAUCUCUGGGCCAUUACUGACGCUGAGGAGCGAAAGCGUGGGGAGCGAACAGG
rnacentral:rRNA from 1 species